rnacentral:rRNA from 1 species
UACAGAGGUCCCGAGCGUUGCUCGGAAUCACUGGGCGUAAAGCGCACGUAGGCGGCUUUCUAAGUCAGGGGUGAAAUCCUGGAGCUCAACUCCAGAACUGCCUUUGAUACUGGAGAGCUCGAGUCCGGAAGAGGUGAGUGGAACUCCGAGUGUAGAGGUGAAAUUCGUAGAUAUUCGGAAGAACACCAGUGGCGAAGGCGGCUCACUGGUCCGGUACUGACGCUGAUGUGCGAAAGCGUGGGGGAGCAAACAGG